AUGCAGGUUCAUCCUGUCCUUAUGCUGAUCGGAUUCAUCAUCAUAGGGAGUGAAGCCAUAAUGAGCUACAAAACAUUGCCAUGGAGCCAUGACACAAAUAAGAAGGUCCAUUUGAUUCUUCAUGCCGUUGCGCUUUUCCUGGGAUCGUUCGGGAUAUACGCUGCGUUCAAGUUUCACAAUGAAAGUGGAAUCGCUAAUCUAUACAGCUUACACUCCUGGGUUGGACUUGGCACUAUCAUUUUGUAUGGUUUACAGUGGGUAUCUGGCUUUCUCACCUUCUUCUUUCCCGGCGCUUCGCCGACACUCCGACGUGCCGUGCUCCCAUGGCAUGUUCGUGCUGGGCUCGUGGUCUACGUGCUGGCGCUGCUCGCGGCCGAGCUGGGGUUCCUGGAGAAGCUCGCUUUCCUUCAGACCGCGGGUCUGGGCAAAUACAGCUCGGAAGCCCUGCUGGUAAAUUUUACUGCCCUUGUUGUCUUACUACUGGGCGCAUCCGUCGUGCUGUAUGUCACUGCUCCUGCGCAGAGCGAGCACAGGCUUGGGUAUUCAUCAGUGCGAAGUCCUGACUCCUGA
rnacentral:rRNA from 1 species